rnacentral:rRNA from 1 species
UACGUAGGGGGCAAGCGUUGUCCGGAUUUACUGGGCGUAAAGAGCGUGUAGGCGGCCACGCAGGUCCGUUGUGAAAACUGGAGGCUCAACCUCCAGCUGUCGACGGAGACCGUGUGGCUAGGAGUCCGGAAGAGAGAGUGGAAUCCGUGGUGUAGCGGUGAAAUGCGCAGAUAUCAGGAGGAACACCCGUAGCGAAGGCGGCACUCUGGGCCGUGACUGACGCUGAGGAGCGAAAGCGUGGGUAGCGAACAGG